CCCUUAGAUGUUCUGGGCCGCACGCGCGCUACACUGACGAAUGCAACGAGCUUAUAACCUUGGCCGAAAGGUCUGGGUAAUCUCCAAAUUUCGUCGUGAUGGGGAUAGAUUAUUGCAAUUAUUAAUCUUCAACGAGGAAUGCCUAGUAAGCGCAAGUCAUCAGCUUGCGUUGAUUACGUCCCUGCCCUUUGUACACACCGCCCGUCGCUGCCCGGAACUGAGCCAUUUCGAGAAAAAUGGGGACAGACUGCUUGUGGGUGCGCAAGCACUUCUUGCAGAUUGAAACCAUCUUGAUCGGUAUGGCUUGAACCGGGCAAAAGUUGUAACA
rnacentral:rRNA from 1 species